CUGUGCCCGCCCCUGAGAUAAAACCCAGUGCACAGAGGUGCUCUGGGCUCUCUUCAGUCCUGAUUUCUCCCAGCCCAAACCCUUGUGCUCACCCCCUCUCCUGAAUAAACCUGUUCAUGGGAAGUACAGCUGAGCUGGCAAACGAUCAGGUGCUUUGCAGAACUGAUCUAAAAAUACCUCAGCAAAAAUGUUGUUGGACAUGUGAAGUUGGGUACAUAAAUUAGUCAGAAUGAAGCUGUGGAAAUUGGAGAGACAGAUGGACGUCUUGGUGGAUUUGGAGUUGGCUGGAUGAUCAUACCCACAGAUGUUGUUCAUGGCUUGAAGUCUCUGUGGAGACCAGUGAGGUUCCUCGGGGUCGUUACUGGGACACCAGCGCUGUUUAACACCUUGAUCUGUGACAUGGACAGUGGGAUCCAGGGCAGCCCUGUGGGGUUUGUUGAAGAUGCCAAGCUGUGUGAGGCAGUCACACACUGGAGGGAAGGGAUGCCAUCCAGUGGGACCUCGACAGGCUGGAGAACUGGGUCUGUGUGAACCUCAUAAAGGUCAGCAAGUCCAAGGGCUGGUGAGUCGGGUCAGCCCUGAGCACAAGCACAGGCUGGGUAAACUGAGUGACUUGAGAGCAGCUCUGAGGAGAAGGCCUGGAGGGGUUGGUGGAUGAGAAACAGCUCGACCUGGAAAUUGGCCUUGAAGCCCAGAAAGCCAAAUCUGCCUUUAUCUCAUCUUUGAAAAGUCAUGUUUAGCACAGGUUUUUAAGGCAUAAUUCUUAAAUAAGAGCAACAAUCCUGUUUCUUAAUUCUUAAAUUAGAUUAAUAAUAAUUCUUAAUAAUUCUUAAAUAAGAACAACAUUCUUAAAAUGUAUAAUUAAUACAAUCAUAAGGAAAUGAAUCUUUAAAUUCUGUCCCAAAUUAUAUUAAAGUAUUCCAAACUGUUUUCUGGGUGUAGAAGCAGCAGUUAUAUAGCAACAGAAGGCCUUAAAUUAAUUUAAGAAUUUAUUUAUACACUUGCUUGUGAAUACACAUACCUGUGUGAAACUUUCACUGGUUUGCUUAACCAGGGCAACCUGAUUUUACUUUAUUUUGCUUUGUGCUUUUGUUUUAUUUUUCUGAGUAGCUAGAUGCAAUUUCAGAUUUUGUCAAAAUCUAUUAUUGAUAUUUUCCCUAAUUUCUAUUUUCUUCCUUUCUUACUGGAAGAACAAUGACAGUGAUGGUUGAGGUUAUUCACAGCUGUCUUUUUUUUGCUCAUGGUUUAUUAAUUUACUUCACAUCAGAAUAUAGAAAAAUGUAGCUGUCUGUGAGUAGUAAUAGGGAACAGGUAGUCAAUUAAAUUUUGGAGAGCUUCUUAGUCCCAUACUCCAGAUAAUGCUUAGGAUUAAAACAAAAGGUUGGGGCUAAAAUCCUUUGCUGUUUUAAGGAUUCUUUACAGAUACUGUUAUCCAAGGUAGACAUAUAUGUGUUAGAAAAAUUUAAACUGACCAUAAUGCAGUUUUAACUUUUGGACAGAUCUUUCCUGAAAUAAAUGUAUUCCCAUGAAUUCAUUGUCUUCAAUUGCAAAUUACAAAACUAAUAUGAUUCAUUUUAUAUUUAGGUUUUUAAAUCAUCAAGUAUUCUGUUUAGUACAGUUGUCUCUUUCCCAAGGAGGCUUACCUGUUGAAUAUUUGAAUUCUCCAUUCUUUCAUAGAUGGCUAAUCACCUUCAUCAAGUUUGGGCUAAAAUCACUACUGGUUUGGGCUAAAAAAUAUGCAAAGCAUUUUAUAGGAACAAGUUAACCUUAAUUUCCUAAGCAGUCAGUCACCACAGAAGUCUCAUGAAUUUCAGAUACGGUAAUUUUUGCAUGAUUGGAGUCAUGGGCAGGGAGAGUAGACUUUGUUUCAAACCUCUAAGUAACCUUUCUGUCUGGAAGCAGUACACUUCUAGAACCUUGUACAAAAAGGACCUGUGUGGUGGGACAGACAGUGUAUUUAUUAUGUAUUUCCAGUUUAUUAAAGAAACAAAUUCACAACUCUGGUGACUCAGUACUAAGUUCAAAUUAUAGUGAGUUCAUGUGGUAUC